AAAGUGUUUCUAGAAU
rnacentral:rRNA from 5 species